ACGGAGCUUUCGACCGCGACCCCAGGUCAGACGGGAUUACCCGCUGAGUUUAAGCAUAUCAAUAAGCGGAGGA
rnacentral:rRNA from 1 species